UUCUCUGUGGCUCAGUUGGUUGAGCAUUGUGCUACUAAUGUAAAGGUUUUGGGUUCAAAUCCCAGAAAUGUCA